UGAGGAACAUGACCUUCGGCGGGGGAUAGCCGGCCCAACGGCCGGGUAAUACCGCGUACGACCUUUCGGGGACAUCCCUGGAUGGUGAAAGCAGCAAUGCGCCGAUGGAGUGCCUCGCGGCCUAUCAGCUAGUUGGUGAGGUAACGGCUCACCAAGGCGACGACGGGUAGCUGGUCUGAGAGGAUGGCCAGCCANAUUGGGACUGAGACACGGCCCAGACCUCCGUACGGGAGCAG
rnacentral:rRNA from 1 species